rnacentral:rRNA from 1 species
UUCCGGUUGAUCCCGCCGGACCUGACUGCUAUCGGAUUGAUACUAAGCCAUGCAAGUCUUUGUAGUAAUACAAGGCAUACGGCUCAGUAACGCGUAGUCAACCUACCCUAUGGAUGAGGAUAAUCUCGGGAAACUGAGCAUAAUACUCAACAGAUCAUCAAUUCUGGAAUGGUUGAUGAUUCAAAUGAUUUUUCGCCAUAGGAUGGGACUGCGACCUAUCAGCUUGUUGGUGAGGUAAUGGCCCACCAAGGCAAUUACAGGUACGGGCUCUGAGAGGAGAAGCCCGGAGAUGGGUACUGAGACAAGGACCCAGGCCCUAUGGGGCGCAGCAGGCGAGAAAACUUUGCAAUGUGCGAAAGCACGACAAGGUUAAUCCGAGUGAUUUCUGCUAAAGGAAUCUUUUACCAGUUCUAAAAAUACUGGUGAAUAAGGGGUGGGCAAGUUCUGGUGUCAGCCGCCGCGGUAAAACCAGCACCUCAAGUGGUCAGGAGGAUUAUUGGGCCUAAAGCAUCCGUAGCCGGCUCUGUAAGUUUUCGGUUAAAUCUAUAUGCUCAACAUAUAGGCUGCCGAAAAUACUGCACAGCUAGGGAAUGGGAGAGGUAGACGGUACUCGGUAGGAAGGGGUAAAAUCCUUUGAUCUAUCGAUGACCACCUGUGGCGAAGGCGGUCUACCAGAACAUGUUCGACGGUGAGGGAUGAAAGCUGGGGGAGCAAACCGGAUUAGAUACCCGGGUAGUCCCAGCUGUAAACGAUGCAGACUAGAUAAUGCACUGGCACAUAGCCAGUGCAGUGUCUCAGGGAAGCCGUUAAGUCUGCCGCCUGGGAAGUACGUACGCAAGUAUGAAACUUAAAGGAAUUGGCGGGGGAGCACCACAAGGGGUGAAGCCUGCGGUUCAAUUGGAGUCAACGCCGG